AACCUCCGCAAUGUGAGAAAUCGCGACGGGGGGAUCCCAAGUGCCAUUCUUAACGGGAUGGCUUUUCAUUAGUGUAAAAAGCUUUUGGAAUAAGAGCUGGGCAAGACCGGUGCCAGCCGCCGCGGUAACACCGGCAGCUCUAGUGGUAGCAAUUUUUAUUGGGCCUAAAGCGUCCGUAGCCGGUUUAAUAAGUCUCUGGUGAAAUCCUGUAGCUUAACUGUGGGAAUUGCUGGAGAUACUAUUAGACUUGAGACCGGGAGAGGUUAGAGGUACUCCCAGGGUAGAGGUGAAAUUCUGUAAUCCUGGGAGGACCGCCUGUUGCGAAGGCGUCUAACUGGAACGGUUCUGACGGUGAGGGACGAAAGUUAGGGGCGCGAACCGGAUUAGAUACCCGGGUAGUCCUAACUGUAAACGAUGCGGACUUGGUGUUGGGGUGGCUUUGAGCUGCUCCAGUGCCGAAGGGAAGCUGUUAAGUCCGCCGCCUGGGAAGUACGGUCGCAAGACUGAAACUUAAAGGAAUG
rnacentral:rRNA from 1 species